CUGCUUUGGGAAUGGUAUCUGCAUUGCUACAGUGGGGCACUGUGUUUCAACUGAGGCAGUGACAAAAUUGUUCAGACCCCACAGCUUCCUGAAGUGCCUUUCAGCAGAUCUACAUGGCUGAGCAAAUGCAAGGGCUCCGAUCCUCUUUAAAACUAGGCCAGGGAACAAGGAGAUUGCAGAGGGUCUUGUCUCUACAGCUAAUUCAACUUGCACAUAACCUAUAAGUAUGGAAAUCAAGGGGACAAUAAUAAACCAGAUCCCUUUCAAGUGCUGGUAUCUGCU
rnacentral:lncRNA from 1 species